ensembl:lncRNA
AGCACAAUAGACUCUGGUGGUGUGAGGUGCCGCUGCCCACGGUGGGUAUUUGGGGACAGCUCCCUUUCCCUGAGGGGGGAACACUAACGGGGGCUUCUCAUCUCACUGCGCAGGGACCGGGAUUAGAGCAGACUGAUCGCAGCUCUCGAUCCUGUCCAGCCCACCAUGGUUCCUGUGACAUGCUUUGCACUCUUCGUCAUAGGCAUUGCAAUUGUAGCCAUAGCAAUGAGUCAGAACAUGGAUGUCUCUGUGAAUGCCAAUGUGGCAUUUGUUGCUCCUGCACGUGUUUAUCGUGGGAGGAGAAACUCGGCCUGCCCCCAGGCUGCUGCUGUUGCCUUGAGGAUCAGAGGAACAACUCCUGAAUAACAUGGCAAAUGAGCAGAAAUGGAUUUCCUUCCUUCCAAGUAGCCUGCUUCAUGUCUUCCCACAGCAUUAACUGGGAAGCCCCCACUGACCAGCAGCUGUCCCUUUAACAGACUUGUACCGUCUUGAGCAAUAAAUACUUCAGAAAGCCUGAAUAAAAGUGCA